GGGAGCCGUAUGCGGGAAAACCGCACGUACGGUUCUAUGCGGGGGGCGUGCGAUGAAACGCACGUCCCUACCGUUAC
rnacentral:ncRNA from 1 species